UGAUGGCGUACCUCUUUGGCUGACUGAAUGUCUGGAAAGUGUCAACGAAUUUUCUUUGGAAUUCCUUCCUCAGGUCGCACAUUCUCUCCGACAGCUACAGGUCAUGCUUAUUUCCAAACGCAAGACACUGCUUUUCAUUGACCAAUCAAGAGCAGAAACAAGGUAACACUUUACUAAUUUUAUUUAACGAGUGUACUGCAGAAUGGUAACUCCUCAAAGGUGGUAUGGUAUAUGCAGGUAAACUCAUUCUUUCAUUUCACAUUUGCCGUGGGCUCCGGGCACAAGUACCCCCUCACCGGCAAGAAAGGGAGAAUUUGGGAGACCACCGGGAGGGACAUUUGAACGCCCUGCUGACAACACCUGACACUCAUGCGAAGACACUAUGGCUUUGUGUGCAUUUACAAUAAAAUAAGUUGUGCGUACUUUGCGAGAAAGACACGCGUGAACCAGUUCGCACACCAGGCGUGGGAGAAUUCAUGCCGAAAUUGAAUAGAAUCAAUUCCAAACUUGGAAUCGGAAUCGCGAUUCCACAUUUUGGAGGAAUCAAUUAUCUGAUGGAGCCGAUUCUGGCUCCCCGAUUGUCAAUUCCAGUCUUCCCAUGACAAUUUCAAAGACCGCCAACACCGUGUUGGCGGUCACGCCUUCAAAGAACGCCCAAUUCUUUAUCAAAAUGGACCCUUUACAGUUUUAAAAGUAUGCAGUGCCUCAAAGACAAACUGAUGGCACAACUCAUUGAUGAAGCCGCCCUCUAACGAAAAUCUUUAACAUCAACGGCGUAUUAAAUAUCAUAAAGUGAGCUAUUUUAUUUGAGGAAUGCAAAGCCAGCCGGCAUCGCGCCGACAUUCUCGUCCAUGUGGCCUGCCUGCCGUGCCCCACCACACAGCUAUGCAAUUUUCUCACGAAAAUGUUUGGGUUUUUAUGACGUAAUAUUUGAUUUGUGGAAUGUGAAUCAGGUUUCCUAUCAUCGUAGGAAUUUUCACAACGAUUGGAAGCGGAUGCAGCUCCCAAAAAUUUGAAAAGUUUUUCAUAAAAUCCUUUUAAAAAAGUGGGGAAACUUUCAGAACCAUCUUUUAAUAAAUUUGUCUCAGAUUAUUUUGUUCUUCCUGUCAAAAACCAAUACGGUCCUACACUUAUGUUGUUCUAAAACAACCAGCAAAUGGCAAUGAGUCCCGUCGACAUCAAAAGUUUCCUGACUCCAUAAGCGUCCGCGUAGAUGACCCAUCGUCUUUUUGUGAAUGACUUGAAGUUGCUAGUAUUCGGCGAUAAAUCGUGAAUGUAGUAGUAAAUUCGUUUACCAGGAGAUAUCAGCGAUCCCGGCCGUAAUUACGUGACGCAUCAAAAUAUGAAAGCGCGUUCAGAAGUAAGAUGUACUCCGAUACGAUUAUUACACUGCCAAAUAAAAUGUUGAUCGUACCGGUAUGUUAUAAAAACAACAGUAUAACAAUGUAUGUUUAGCGAAGAUUUCGAUGGAAAAUGCCCGUUUUCAGUGUACUGUACUGCCCUCAUUAUUUUAAAAUGUUUUUGGUUGAUAGCACCGAAAUAAGAUGAGGUCUGAUUUUCGUCUUGCGUGUUUUCCCAUUUUUCUUGUCCAAUAUUUUAUUUGGUUGUGUUUCCUUCCCAAAACAUGACUCUUGUAUAACAUUUGCUGACAAAUGACCAUCUAUAAGAGAGCGAUAGCACCCCAAAAUGACCUCGCUAAUAGCGGUUUUAAUUUAUUUUUUUGAAAUUUAAUUUUGUUGUUAAGUUUAUUUUUUUGCGAAAAGUUUGGGAUCAAUUCCCAGACGGAAUCGGAAUCGAUUAAAAAAAGUGCUGGAUUCGCCCAAAGCUAAUGUCAAUGUGAUAUGUCCAAUUCACAGGGCUUUUACAGUGUAUAGAUGUGGUAAAAAACACCCUGAGACUUUACAUGUGUAGCUUCAUGUAUGUUUGCAGUAACAGAUGGCCCAGGUAUACUGUUCAUCUGAGUAAAUUAGACAAUGACACACCAGAGAAAUUUAUGGUUUAACUGAACAAGAAGUUAAGAAGAAGCUAUUUUGGAAAUUGUCCGCUAAAAUUGCACUGAAACAUCUUUUGCAAUCCAUACUAAUUGGCCCAAAAAUAUAUCAAUCCAAGUGAUUGCGGACAUUUUCUUGAAGCUUUCAUUCAAAUCAGAGCUACAGAAAAAGUGGUUUCUGUGGCUGUACAUGUAUACAUGUACACACAUACAUGUACGCCCCACAUGUACAAUGUAAAUGUAGUAUCUUAUUGUACACAUGGUCGUGAAUGAUUCGACAACAGCAUACUGAAUAUCCCUGAACGAAAAAUGCUAUGUUAAUAUUGCGUGCUGCUGUCUUAAAUUCUUACAACUGACUUUUGUAGGUCUUCAACAUCUUCAUUUUUUAUGCGCGUUCCAUUCAUACAAACAUGAACGAUGAGUUUCUUAAUCAUACUAAGUCUUACGUUUCUUCCUUAUUUUGAAGCUCUCAUUUGCCUUACUGCAAUGUUUCUUCAAAAGUAAAAACAUUGUUCACUGCUCAUCAAUCACAUGCAUAGUGUGGUUGGAGAGACCACUGAAUGUACCAGAGGUUUUAGUCUUGAGCAUAAGAGUCACUCACUAGAAUAUCAGAUCAAAAGAAAAUGAACAGCUGUUAUUUAGGAUUUGGAGAUUUGAGAGUCCAUCACAUGCACCAGCGGGAAUAGAGGUUGGAGAGUCCAUCAAGUGCUCCAGCGGGGAUAGACACAGGAGCGUCAGAGUCUUUAUGUGUCAGAUAGAAGGAAUACAAAGUCUUUUUAAAAUUUUAAACGGGGUCAUUGUUGGAGAGUCCUCUAAAUGUACUUGCAGGAAUUGACUCAAGGUUAAAUUAGAUAAAUUCAUAACAUCUCUUCUGAAAGAGCAACAUGUCUUCAUCAAUCAAACCCAUGUAUUGUGUGGUUGGAGAGACCACUGAAUGUACCAGAGGUUUUAGUCUUGAGCAUAAGAGUCACAAGAAUAUCAGAUCAAAAGAAAAUGAACAGCUGUUAUUUAGGAUUUGGAGAUUGGAGAGUGCAACUAUUGCACCAGCGAGAAUAGAGGUUGGAGAGUCCAUCAAAUGCACCAGCGGGGAUAGACACGAGCGUCAGAGUCUUUUCAUUAUGUAGCGUAUGUGUCAAAUGGAAGGAAGACAAGUCUUUGUUAAGAUUAUAAACGUGGAAGAUCAAAAGAAAAUUAACAGCUGUUCCCUCUUUUUUUCUGAAAGAGGUACUGCUUCUUCAAAUGUAUCUUCAAUUCUCUUGAAAUUCCUUGCUACAUAGUUCAACUUAAAAAUUGUGUUUAGGAUUUGGAGGUUGGAGAGUCCAUAAAAUGCACCUACGGGGAUAGACACGAGCAUCAGAGUCUUCUUUGUCAGAAGGAAGACUAAUCGCAGUGUUAGGUGAUGCCAAACUUUCUUCUUUCUAAAAGAGAACGUCUUC